rnacentral:rRNA from 1 species
UACGGGGGGGGCAAGCGUUGUUCGGAAUUACUGGGCGUAAAGGGUUCGUAGGUGGCUCGCUAAGUCAGACGUGAAAUCCCUCAGCUUAACUGGGGAACUGCGUCUGAGACUGGCAAGCUCGAGUGCAGGAGAGGAACGCGGAAUUCCAGGUGUAGCGGUGAAAUGCGUAGAUAUCUGGAGGAACACCGGUGGCGAAGGCGGCGUUCUGGACUGCAGCUGACACUGAUGAACGAAAGCCAGGGGAGCAAACGGG